UGCGCUUACACCUGGGGCCAUCCGCCAUGAUCCUCUCGCUUGUGUCUAAAUGCUCGAGUCACCUCCUCCCCCUCCCUCCCUCCCCCUUCCCCCCCACCCCUCCGCCUCCACCCCUCCCCCCUCCCCACCGCACCUGGUUUACGACACUCGCGGCUUUACGACAUCACCUUCCUUACACCUAGAGGCGCUCGCUCUACGGCCGGAACCUUGUUGCUAAGGGCUGGACGGUUUGCGGCAACCUAGGACGCUGCGGAGUUUGAAUUGAGAGGAGAGGGAAAAGUUUUCCUCAGGUGUGGUUGGGUGAGAGACUGGGUCGUUGGGGAUACUGUCGGGACGUGGUCAGAAGGGCGACAGGCUGUCCGAGUGAGAAAGGUGAAGUUGGAGGCUGCGGCGUUCCGCCUCUGAACUAGCCACACCCGCCGCGGCUGUCUAGGACGCAGACGGGUCUGGCUGCUGCUGCUCUGGACCCUGUGCCCUCAGAGCGGCCCCUCUGAGCGUCGCGAGCGUCUGUCGGCCCUCCCUCUUCCUGAAGGUUGGGCUCGGCUCCCACGCCUCGUUCGUCCGCCCUGCGCACUCCGAGGCCAGGGAGAGGGUCGUGCUCUGGGCAACCCCAGGGAGUUCCCAUGAUUCGGGGAAGGGCAGGCUCGGGGAAUAGUGAGCGAGCGAUUGGGGAACUCGGCCUUGGACGGCGAGGACACGCGGCGGCACGAAAGCGGCUACCUGACCCGCUGGGUCCUGACUCCCUUCCCUCACAGGGACGCACGGUUUUCCCCCUAGAGAACCAGGAUGGGAAGUGACUUCAGUUAGGUCGAACUUCAGCUGGACCGAAAGAGACGAGAAGUUCCGCUUGCAGUAAAGCGGAAUGAGUAAUACCCACACAGUGCCUGUCUCACUUCCUCAUCCGCGCCGGCUCUCACCUGCUGUCACCUUGGCCUCCCCCGCCCCCUGCCUUCCUCUCCGCCCUCCCCGCUUUCCUCUCGGGUAGACCGCCGGACUUGUAGGCGUCGCGACUUAAGAGUUCAGGGCCUACUCCUGUGCAGGAAGGUGGUCUGAACUCAGAAGAGAUAUGAGGAGACAGAUAAGCACCUGCCAUAAACGUUCCAUUCCAUAGUGCUUAGGGAAAAAAAUCCUACCCCCAAAGUGUUAUUCAAUAAAGCUUGUAUUGUUCUGUGUUU